rnacentral:tRNA from 1 species
AGGCCAGUAGCUCGAAUUGGUAGAGCGGCAGACUCCAAAUCUGCGGGUUGGGGGUUCGAAUCCCUCCUGGCCUGCCA